CCUACGGGGCGCAGCAGUGAGGAAUAUUGGUCAAUGGGCGGGAGCCUGAACCAGCCAAGCCGCGUGCAGGAAGAAGGCGCUAGGCGUCGUAAACUUCUUUUGUCGGGGAACAAAGGGCGCCACGCGUGGCGGUGUGAGAGUACCGGAAGAAAAAGCAUCGGCUAACUCCGUGCCAGCAGCCGCGGUAAUACGGAGGAUGCGAGCGUUAUCCGGAUUUAUUGGGUUUAAAGGGUGCGUAGGCGGUCCGGAAAGUCAGCGGUAAAAGCCCGGGGCUCAACCCCGGCGAGGCGUUGGAAAGUGCGGAG
rnacentral:rRNA from 1 species